CUGAUGUGGUGGAAGUUGUCGAACCAGAUCAGAACGCCUUCGAGGACCACCUUCAGGCACGGACUGAGAAGGAUGUGGAGGUUUUUGACCAGGAGACUGAACAUCGACAAGGCGCAGGAGAAAGAGAAGGAGAGCUACUGGAGCAGAAUCAAGAAGGGGACCAAGUGCUACGACAUCCAGGCAAAUUAUUUGGUUUGAAAGAAGGACAAAAGGAAGGCGAGACCUGGGAAACCUCGCUGCUCUUUUGCUCCUAGCUGGGGUCACCAUCUGUUAAGGGUUACCUCGGUGGAAGCCAACAAUCCUCUCCAGUUGGAGCAGUUGGACGGUCGACCACUGAAAGCACUGACGCCCUACACUUCGGUGAAGCCCAAUAGACAAAGUAUGUUAAGCUUUGGUUGACAUUUGAGAAAGCAAGAAAUGGUAGUUAUGCUGAGCUUAUAAAAAUGUACCUCUUCAAUUUACCUCUCCAAAUGACUUUAGGACCAUCGACUGUCCGAGCC